rnacentral:misc_RNA from 1 species
UUGGUGGUAGGAAACGAAGCAGAUUUCAAGAUUGAAUGUUGUAAUAAACAAACAAAAUUAGAGGGACAACAAUCCAUUUAAGACAAGGAAAAAAUACAGGACUAUAGGAUGAUCAUUCCAGCAUCAGUUGGGAAGUGCUUAUCCUUCCACAAACAACAUAAAAAUCCUAAUAAAAAGGCCUAAAAAGUUCCUCUAUCAAUGGAAUCUUGGUUCUCUUCACCAAGAGCAGCCUCAUUCAAGUACUUGUCAGCCAAUUGGACUCUCUUCACAUUCUCUUGUUCUUGGACAAGCAUCUGUCCGUACUCAAGGAGCUUUUCCAGGUUCAUCUUUGGCUGCUCGAAUGUUGGGGGUCCUUCGAUUGAGUUCACAAGCUUCUUCCCAACGGCCUGCACUCCAACGCCUGUAACCCACUUCCUCACUUCAUCAUCGUAAACUCUUGCCCUCAGAGCACCGAAGAAGUCAAUGGAUUGACCCGGGAAGGCAUCGACAAGCUUGACAAUGUGUUCAAAAGGAACACCGUCGGUUCUGAAAAUUCCAGUGCAGACACCAAUUCUAUCUUCCCUGGUGGGUGCCCAGUAGAAUUUCUCCAUACGACCAUCACGGAUAAGAGGAGCAUACAAUGUAGAGAAAUCGUUACCAGUGACGAUGAUAGGGACACGGGGAUUCUCCUCCUUGUUGUACAUGCCAGGAAGUUGCACAUUUGUUGGGUUAUCAGCAAUGUUCAUAAGGGUAGCAUUCACCAUCUGGUUGUUCACAGUGUACUGGGUUGUUCCUCCAAGCCUACCUGCUCCAGCAUCAAGAUCGUUGAUAAAGAGGCAGCACAUUUUUCCCUUCUUCUUAAUGAUAUCUGCUGCUUCACGGUACCUUUGCCUGAUGAGCUUGGCGGGUUCACCAGCGUUUCCACUUUCCAAUUCUCCAGCACUCAUCAUGAUUGGAUUGAUUCCCA